UUUUCUACCAUUGUAAAAGUGAUAGUUUCUCCAUAUCGAGAACUAUUACGGUUUAUUAUUUGUACGCAUUUGGGAUUCAAUUGUAAGGGGUUUUCAUUGCCAAAGCAUGCCAGAAUUAUUUAAUCGAAGAUUCAAGAUUCAAUUCCAGUUCUAAAAUUGCAAUCCAAGUUUAUUAUUGUUUACUGUUUUAUUUAUUUAUGCCUUACUGUAUGUUUAAUUCCCCAAUUGCCAUGUCUGUCACCGGAUUUAUGUCCGGCUAAAC
rnacentral:lncRNA from 1 species